UACGUAGGGUGCAAGCGUUGUCCGGAAUUAUUGGGCGUAAAGAGCUCGUAGGCGGUUUGUCGCGUCUGCUGUGAAAAUCCAGGGCUUAACCCUGGACCUGCAGUGGGUACGGGCAGACUAGAGUGCGGUAGGGGAGAUCGGAAUUCCUGGUGUAGCGGUGAAAUGCGCAGAUAUCAGGAGGAACACCGGUGGCGAAGGCAGCUCUCUGGGUCCCUACCGACGCUGGGGUGCGAAAGCAUGGGGAGCGAACAGG
rnacentral:rRNA from 1 species